CUUGGUCAUUUAGAGGAAGUAAAAGUCGUAACAAGGUCUCCGUAGGUGAACCUGCGGAGGGAUCAUUACAGAGUUAAGGGUCUUUCUAGGCCCGAACCUCCAACCCUAUGUCUAUCAUACCACGUUGCUUCGGCGGACCCGCCCGUAAAAAGGCCGCCGGGAGGUCGUCAAACCCCUCCUGGCCCGUUCGUCCGUCGAUGGCCUAAAACACAAAACUCUGUAUAACCAUGUUGUCUGAGUCCAAAACAAAAAAUUAAAACAAAACUUUCAACAACGGAUCUCUUGGUUCUGGCAUCGAUGAAGAACGCAGCGAAAUGCGAUAAGUAAUGCGAAUUGCAGAAUUCAGUGAGUCAUCGAAUCUUUGAACGCACAUUGCGCCCUUUGGCAUUCCGAAGGGCAUGCCUGUUCGAGCGUCAUUAUCACCCCUCAAGCUUGGCUUGGUGUUGGACUUUUUCUACGGGCCUCCGGGCCCGGGUCCCAAAGAUAAUGACAGGCUUGACGGAAGCCUCGGUACAAUGAGUCUUGCACAAGGCACGUAUCGCAGUUUGUUUCUGUCCGGCUUGGUCUUAACCACAAAUUUUUCUUAAGGUUGACCUCGGAUCAGGUAGGAAUACCCGCUGAACUUAAGCAUAUCAAUAAGCGGAGGAA
rnacentral:rRNA from 1 species